rnacentral:rRNA from 1 species
AGUGAACGCUGGCGGUAGGCCUAACACAUGCAAGUCGAACGGCAGCACAGUAAGAGCUUGCUCUUACGGGUGGCGAGUGGCGGACGGGUGAGGAAUACAUCGGAAUCUACUUUUUCGUGGGGGAUAACGUAGGGAAACUUACGCUAAUACCGCAUACGACCUACGGGUGAAAGCAGGGGAUCUUCGGACCUUGCGCGAUUGAAUGAGCCGAUGUCGGAUUAGCUAGUUGGCGGGGUAAAGGCCCACCAAGGCGACGAUCCGUAGCUGGUCUGAGAGGAUGAUCCGCCACACUGGAACUGAGACACGGUCCAAGCUCCUACGGGAGGCAGCAGUGGGGAAUAUUGGACAAUGGGCGCAAGCCUACCCCAGCCAUACCGCGGGGGUGAAGAAGGCCUUCGGGUUGUAAAGCCCUUUUUUUGGGAAAAAAAAGCAGCAGGUUAAACCCCCUCUUUUGUGACGGUACCCAAAAAAAAAGCACCGGCUAACUUCGU